GUUACCUGACAGCCUGGUUAGUAUGAUUGCCUGCCACGCAGAAGGUUCCGGGUUCAAUUCCCGGUGGUAUCA